rnacentral:rRNA from 1 species
CACGUAGGGUGCGAGCGUUGUCCGGAAUUAUUGGGCGUAAAGAGCUCGUAGGCGGUGUGUCGCGUCGGCCGUGAAAACCUGCAGCUUAACUGUGGGCUUGCGGUCGAUACGGGCAUCACUGGAGUUCGGCAGGGGAGACUGGAAUUCCUGGUGUAGCGGUGAAAUGCGCAGAUAUCAGGAGGAACACCGGUGGCGAAGGCGGCAUCCUGGACCAACACUGACGAUGAGUGAGCGAAAGCCAGGGGAGCAAACGGG